GACGAACGCUGGCGGCGUGCUUAACACAUGCAAGUCGAACGGUGAAGCGCCUUCCUUUUUGGUGGGUGUGGAUGAGUGGCGAACGGGUGAGUAACACGUGAGUAACCUGCCCCCUUCUUCUGGAUAACCGCAUGAAAGUGUGGCUAAUACGGGAUAUUCUGGGUCUGUCGCAUGAUGGGUCUGGGAAAGAUAUUGUUUCGGUGGGGGAUGGGCUCGCGGCCUAUCAGCUUGUUGGUGGGGUGAUGGCCUACCAAGGCGGUGACGGGUAGCCGGCCUGAGAGGAGGAUGGGCCGCAAUGGGGGUGAGGAACGGCGCAGAAUCCUACGGGAGGCGGCAGGGGGGGAUAUUGGAGAAGGGGGGGCAGACGGCUCCAGCCGUGCCGCGGGGGGGGAGAAGGCGGCCGUGUUGUUGAGACCUUUUGUCGGGAGAGAAAAGGAGCAGCUUGGUAUGUGGGUGGUUUGACGGUACCUAAAGAAUAAGCACCGGCUAACUUCGUG
rnacentral:rRNA from 1 species